rnacentral:rRNA from 1 species
UACGUAGGUGGCAAGCGUUGUCCGGAUUUACUGGGUGUAAAGGGCGUGUAGCCGGGCUGACAAGUCAGAUGUGAAAUCCGGGGGCUCAACCCCCGAACUGCAUUUGAAACUGUUGGUCUUGAGUAUCGGAGAGGCAGGCGGAAUUCCUAGUGUAGCGGUGAAAUGCCUAGAUAUUAGGAGGAACACCAGUGGCGAAGGCGGCCUGCUGGACGACAACUGACGGUGAGGCGCGAAAGCGUGGGGAGCAAACAGG